UGCAUCGGCCGGGAAUCGAACCAGGGUCGCCCGCGUGGCAGGCGAGCAUUCUACCACUGAACCACCGAUGG
rnacentral:tRNA from 1 species